rnacentral:misc_RNA from 1 species
UGGGCUCGUCUUCUUGCGUAUCAGUGACUAAAUACGUGCGUCGCAUCCUAUUCCAUCGCAGCACUGCCGCCGCCGCUGCCGCUGCUGCCGUCUCUCUCUCUCUCAUACGUACCUGACUUCUUUUAUCUUACUAUUUCCAGCUACGUGUACGCGUGUGCAGUCACUUACCUGCGAAGCGACUCGGCUGCCUGAGCCGCCCCGCCGCCGCCGCCGCUCGUCGCUCUCCUCUCUCGAGCACGCACCCUCCUUUUGGGAGGAUUCAGUGUACUGACAGAGCGAGCGAGCCCGUGAGAGCCACACAGACGCACACAGCGCGCGCGGUGUGGCACACGCAUCAUCAGAAUCUUGAUCUUCACUAUUGCCGUUUGGUUGUUGGCGUUUGCACGAAGCAACAUCGCCGGUGACGUCCUAAGAAGUUGUCGCGCGCCCGCUCGCACAGACAUCAAAGCCUCCUCUUUUCUCACCCGCCUUCUCCUUCCUCUCACUUUCAGCAUCUAGCGCCCAUCUCCGCUUUUCCGCGCCUCGCCCUGCCUCGUCUGUCUGUGUGUGUGUGUGUGUGUGUGUGUGUGUGUGUGUGCUUGUGUGUAAAAGGGCAAAGAUGGUGCGCGAAACGGAGCUGUACGAGGUGUUGAACGUGUCGGUCGAGGCCGACGAGCACGAGAUCAAGCGGUCCUACCGCCGGCUGGCCCUCAAGUAUCACCCCGACAAGAACACCGGCGAUGAGGCCGCAGCGGACAUGUUCAAGAAGGUGAGCAACGCCUACGAAGUGCUCAGCGACCCCGAGAAGCGGCAGGUGUACGACAAGUACGGCAAGGAGGGACUAGAAAGGGGCGCGGGCGAGGGUGGCGGCUUCCAUGAUGCGACGGACAUCUUCUCCAUGUUCUUCGGCGGAGGCGCGCGGGAGCGCGGGGAGCCAAAGCCGAAGGACAUCGUCCACGAGCUCGAGGUGAAACUGGAUGACCUGUACAACGGCGCCACGAAGAAAGUGAUGAUUUCGCGUGACCGCCUCUGCGGUACCUGUGAGGGCAGUGGGCUGAAGCCCAGCGGCAAGCGCAUCACCUGCGCCCAGUGCCGCGGUCGCGGUGUGCUGCUGCGCACCCAGCAGGUCUUCCCCGGGUUCCAUCAUCAGGUGCAGAUGCGCUGUCCUGCCUGUGGUGGCGAGGGCGAAAUCGUCGCGGCCUCUGACCUCUGCACCGGCUGCCGCGGCAAGCGCGCAGUGCGCGAGAAGAGUGUGCUGGAGGUGCACAUUGACCGUGGCGCCUCCAAGUCGGACCACUUCACCUUCACUGGCGAGGGCAAUCAGGAGCCCGGGAUCCGCCUGUCUGGCGACGUGCUUAUCUUUUUGAGCGUGCGCCCGCAUCCCGUCUUCCACCGCAUAAACGACCAUCUCAUGAUGCGCUGCCCCAUUACCCUGCAGGAGGCACUAUGCGGGUUCGAGGUGCCCAUCGAGCAUCUCGACGGCCGCCAGCUUGUCAUCAAGGCGUCGCCCGGCCAGGUGGUGCACAGCGACAGUGCGUGGAGCGUGUACAAUGAAGGCAUGCCAGUAAAGGGCACCGGCGGUCUGCAGAAAGGCAAACUGUUCAUCUACUUCGAUGUCGAGUGGCCAGAGACGCUGCCGAGGGAACAGAUCGACAAGAUCGUGACGGCCUUGAACGUGCCGGAGAAGCCCGGCAAGCUGGGCGGGCAUGUGGUGGAGCUGACGGAGUACAAGGCCGCCGGCAAGUUCAAGGGUGGCAAGAAUGGGAAGCGCGGUGGUGCGGCGGGGUCGCGGUCUGCCGGCGCCGGCCGUGGGCGUGGGGCCGCUCGAAGCCGCCAGGCGCACGCCGAGGAGGACGAAUUCGAGGAUGUCACUGACGACGAUGACGACGAGCAGCAGCAGUACGGCGGUCAGCAGUACUUCCGCGCAGGUCCGCAAGGCUUCAACGGCAGCACGCAGACCGUAGAGUGCGCACAGCAGUAGUAGAGAGUAGAUGACCGCAAGCUCGAGGGUCAAGGUGCGCAUGGGCAUGUGCGUGCUCGUGUGUGUGUGUGUGUGUGUGAGGGUAGGUGUGCAAAUAUACGCACGCGCUCUGUCAUGGGCCCGCUCUCCUCUACGCACCCUCCUCCCCUCCCGAUAUACACACACAAGUCGCGGCAUCAUGGGGCCCUUCCUCCCCCUGCUCCACGCUCUGUUCAUUCCCUGUUAUGAAUACUGUGUGCGUGUGCGUACGUUGUUCCGUUAUCCAUGCUCUCUCGCCUUCUUCUUUUCUCCAUAAUGCCCUCCGUAAC